CCCCUCUCAGGAUCAUGCCUGGAGAGUUUCCAGUACUCUACCAGUCUUGACUACGGGAGGGAGAGUCGAGAAGAAGCAUGCCCAUCCCAUUCCUAGCUUGGGCAGUGGCUAGCGAAUGGAAGGCAAUCUGCUGCAAGU